rnacentral:rRNA from 1 species
UGGAUGAUGUGGUUUAAUUCGAUGCAACGCGAAAACCUUACCUGGGCUUGACAUCCACGGAACCUGCUGGAAACAGUGGGGUGCCUUUCGGGGAGCCGUGAGACAGGUGGUGCAUGGUUGUCGUCAGCUCGUGUCGUGAGAUGUUGGGUUAAGUCCCGCAACGAGCGCAACCCCUACGUUUAGUUGCUAACAGGUGAAGCUGAGCACUCUAGACGAACUGCCGUUGACAAAACGGAGGAAGGUGGGGAUGACGUCAAAUCAUCAUGCCCCUUAUGUUCUGGGCUACACACGUGCUACAAUGGCCGGUACAGACGGAGGCGAAGCCGCGAGGCGGAGCAAAUCCGAAAAAGCCGGUCUCAGUUCGGAUUGCAGGCUGCAAUUCGCCUGCAUGAAGUCGGAAUCGCUAGUAAUCGCAGGUCAGCAUACUGCGGUCGAAUACGUUCCCGGGCCUU